rnacentral:ncRNA from 3 species
AAUGCACCCGGGCAAGGAUUUGG